UGGAUAGCUCAGAGGGGUAGAGCAUCGGUCUUGUAAACCGAGUGUCGCGGGUUCGACUCCCGCUCCA
rnacentral:tRNA from 1 species